GCCCUCCAGCCGCCCACGGCUGCUCCCUCCCCGCCGCCCAUCGCCACCGCGUCGCCGCGCGCCCUCGCCGUUGCCCGUCGUCUACACCCCAUCAGGCUUUGCCAGCCUCUGUGGUCCCUCGUCCUCGCGUCCGGCGCCCGCCUCCGGCCUCCCACCACUGCACGCGCACCGCACAUGCCUUACCGGCCGGCGAGCAGCAAGCAAGCGACCAAGCGUUGGUGUAGGCCUCGACGAGUGAUCACUGAGGGAGGCUGAUUGCGCGACUCCGUGAAGGCUUCCCCUGCACGGUAUCCAUUGGCGCCCACCUGUGAUCUCGUCUGGCAAGCAGCUAUUCCCUCACCCCACCUGACUUGGAUUGAUGGAUAGAAGUUGGGUGCAUGGAGUGCUAUUUACGCCUAAGUAUAUUGGUGGUGUGCAAUCUUUCAUGAGCUUCAUCA